rnacentral:rRNA from 11 species
GAGGUAGAGCUACCAAUAGGACUAGGGGGUGUCACAGCCUACCGAAUCCUGAUGAACUCCGAAUGCCAAUGGCUAUACACGGCAGUGAGGCCUGGGGUGCUAAGGUCCCCGGCCGAGAGGGAAAGAACCCAGACCCGCCGCUAAGGUCCCUAAGUUCUAGCUAAGUUGAACAAAGGAGGUCCAGUUGCUUUGACAGCCAGGAGGUUGGCUUGGAAGCAGCCAUUCCUUUAAAGAGUGCGUAACAGCUCACUGGUCGAGCGACCGGGCAUCGAUAAUACGCGGGCAUCAAGCUAGGCACCGAAGCGCGGGAUUUGACUUUAUGGUCAAGUGGUAGGGGAGCAUUCUGGUUGCGGAGAAGCCGUCCUGUCAGGGAUGGUGGAGCGUCCAGAAAAGCACAUGUAGGCAUGAGUAACGAUAAAAUGGGUGCGAAACCCAUUCGCCGAUAGACUAAGGUUUCCAAUUCAACGCUAAUCGGAAUUGGGUUAGGCGGGACCUAAGGGAUAGCCGACAGGUGUACCCGAUGGCAAGCCAGUUGAUAUUCUGGCCCCCGGUUAAGGAAGUGAUGCAGGGACGCAGGAAUGAAAGUACCGCGAGCGGACGGAAGUGCUCGUUAAAGCCCGUACCUAUUGGUUGAGUAGUUAAGUACGCUCGACUAGGGGAAAGGUGAUAGUACUGCACGGGCUUCGGCCCACGCAGAUAGUGUACCUAAGGACUGCCAAGAAAAGCUGCUAAACGUUGUAUCCUUAUUCGGCCCGUACCGCAAACCGACACAGGUAGUCAAGGAGAGUAUCCUGAGGGGCUCGAGUGAAUCACCGCUAAGGAACUCGGCAAAAUGGUCCUGUAACUUCGGGAGAAGGGACGCUUCCUCCAGUGAUGGAGAAGCCGCAGUGAAAAGGCCCAGGCGACUGUUUAACAAAAACACAUGACUUUGCGAACGCGCAAGCGGAAGUAUAAGGUCUGACACCUGCCCGGUGCCGGAAGGUUAAGAGGG